ACGGGUGAGUAACGCGUGGGUAACCUGCCCUGUACAGGGGGAGUAACAGCUGGAAACGGGCUGCUAAUACCGCAUAAGCGCACGAGGAGACAUCUCCUUGUGUGAAAAACUCCGGUGGUACAGGAUGGGCCCGCGUCUGAUUAGCUGGUUGGCAGGGUAACGGCCUACCAAGGCAACGAUCAGUAGCCGGUCUGAGAGGAUGAACGGCCACAUUGGAACUGAGACACGGUCCAAACUCCUACGGGAGGCAGCAUG
rnacentral:rRNA from 1 species